rnacentral:lncRNA from 1 species
GAGAAAUGGUCCAAAUUGUUGAAAUCUUUAAGCCGAGGUCAGUUUUCAUAUCUUGCUUUUGAAUUAAUGAUGAGAGAUUUCUUUGGGUUAAUUAGUGUUUUGACCAUUUAAUUUUAUAGUUAAUCAGAAGGAUGUGUUCAAUUUUGGAAGAAUAUUUGUGUUUGAUGUUCGAAAUUAAAGCAGUGAAACUUCUGUUUAAUUUCAAUUGUUUGCUUAAGUUUAGGCAAAUUGCAUACAAAUGGGAAAGAGGAAAGGAAUAUACUAAGCAAGUUAUAUGCAUAUGCUUUGAACAACCUAUGUCAAAUGGAUAUACAUGGUUAUGUAAAUUGAUUUGAUUCCUUAAAAAUACAGUAGAACUUUACAACUUGAAUAUCCACUUCUGAUCUGCACGAUACUUCUACACGAAUGAGGGCCAGCUGAAGAAGUAUCAUUCUUGCACUAUUUUGAGGCAAAAUGGCUGUUACAAUCAGUGGAAGAGAGCUCGACUGGAACUUUGAUAGCUGAAUGGAAGCCAGUCGAGACAUGCUUUCCAAGAAGCCAUCUUGGGCUGGGGUUAGCAUAGAUUGAAGGGAACGUCCUAGUCUUGUUGGCAGCCAACUUAAUGGGUUGCGAGUCAGGAAAAGUGCAGGUCGCUGGUCUUGGUGCCACAUAACUAAGAGAGCCAUUUCAUUUAGGGCAAGAAAGAAUGCACGGGCACGAACAUUGCCAGUUCUCAUUAGGUAUGUCGCGGUCCAGAAAAUUGGAAGAACCAUGAGCACCAGUGUUAAAGGAGGCUGAGCUAAAUAGAGCUAUGUAGAGGGAAUUCUGAUCUUCCAAUUCCUCCCCGUCACUGAUUGAUGGGAGUUUCCUUCGAGCAGCUUAGGAUUAUCUGGAACAUUAAACAAGGAGUUAUUUAAGCUAUCAACCACAACAGUUGUAAGCAGAGUUAUGCAAAAAGUUUAUUAACUUAAUCUCAACCUGGAGUUUCAUCAUUCAUGUUUGAGAUUCUUCAAAAUGUUACCAGAAACUAUUUUCCCG